rnacentral:lncRNA from 1 species
GGAGCUAGGACUUAGAGCUGAGUGAGCAUCAGGGAGAGAGGGAGGGACAGAGAGAGAGAGAGAGAGAGAGAGAGAGAGAGAGAGAGAGAGAGAGAGAUUGGCUGCUGGUGCUGGAUAACCCUGCUUGCCAGCUGCCUCAGUCAACAACUUCCUGAGCUGCUUUUUCUUUUACAAAAGGAUGUCAGCUCUGAGAGCCAGCGAGAAAUAACAGACUUCACCUUGGAACAGCUCAACACUCGUGCAGCAUUAAAGCAGAUCUGAAGAAAAACACAAAAAUCAAGCACUCAGCCAGCCCCUCUUCAUGACUACAUUGCAGAGAGAACAGUUUCAUGCUCCAGGCAAAUGGAUUGAACUAAUAGAAACCAUCCUGAGUGAGUUCACCCAAUCAUGAAAAGAUAAACAUGAAAGGGCCUGACCUCCCAUGGGUGUCAACGAAGCGUGGCGUGUCAAGCUGAGGAGAAUGGAACACUGAGCUCAUCAAUACAUCUUG